GCACUACUGACGAGUCCUAAACAGGACGAAACAGCGGUCCGGUGC
rnacentral:hammerhead_ribozyme from 1 species